AGCUGCUAAUACCGCAUACGACCUUUGAAUCGCAUGGUUUGAAGAUGAAAGGUGGCCUCUCUUUGAAGCUGCCGUUGAAGGAUGGUCCCGCGUCCCAUUAGCUUGUUGGUGGGGUAAUGGCCUACCAAGGCGACGAUGGGUAGCCGGCCUGAGAGGGUGUCCGGCCACACUGGGACUGAGAUACGGCCCAGACUCCUACGGGAGGCAGCAGUCGAGAAGCUUCCGCAAUGGGCGAAAGCCUGACGGAGCGACGCCGCGUGAGUGAAGAAGGCCCUAUGGGCUGUAAAACUCUGUCAGAUUGGGAAGAAAAUUCUGCGGUUAACACCCGUGGAACUUGACGGUACCAUCAGAGGAAGCACCGGCUAACUCCGUGCCAGCAGCCGCGGUAAUAUGGAGGGUGCAAGCGUUGUUCGGAUUCACUGGGUAUAAAGGGUGCGCAGGCGGCCCGAUAAGUCAGAGGUGAAAUAUGACGGCUCAACCGUCAAACUGCCUCUGAAACUGUCAGGCUUGAGUUCGAGAGAGGUAGGUGGAAUUCCAGGUGUAGCGGUGAAAUGCGUAAAUAUCUGGAGGAACACCGGUGGCGAAGGCGGCCUACUGGCUCGAUACUGACGCUCAGGCACGAAAGCAUGGGGAGCGAACGGGAUUAGAUACCCCGGUAGUCCAUGCCGUAAACGAUGGGUACUAGGUGUUGGGGGAGUCUACCCCCUCAGUGCCGCAGCUAAUGCAUUAAGUACCCCACCUGGGGAGUACGAUCGCAAGGUUGAAACUCAAAGGAAUUGACGGGGGCCCGCACAAGCGGUGGAGCAUGUGGUUUAAUUCGAUGCAACGCGAAGAACCUUACCUAGGCUUGACAUGCAGGGGACAGGUGUAGAAAUACAUCCUUCUUCGGACUCCUGUACAGGUGCUGCAUGGCUGUCGUCAGCUCGUGUCGUGAAAUGUUGGGUUAAGUCCCGCAACGAGCGCAACCCUUGUCUUUAGUUGCCAUCAGGUAAUGCUGGGGACUCUAGAGAGACUGCCGGUGAUAAACCGGAGGAAGGUGGGGAUGACGUCAAGUCAGCAUGGCCCUUACGCCUAGGGCUACACACGUGCUACAAUGGUCGGUACAGUGGGCAGCAAUACAGCGAUGUGGAGCGAAUCCCAAAAAGCCGGCCUCAGCUCGGAUUGAAGUCUGCAACUCGACUUCAUGAAGUUGGAAUCGCUAGUAAUCGCGUAUCAGAACGACGCGGUGAAUACGUUCCCGGGCCUUGUACACACCGCCCGUCAAGUCAACCGAGUUGGUUGCACCCCAAGUCGCUGAGCUAACCCGUAAGGGAGGCAGGUGCCCAAGGUGUGAUUAGCGAGGGGGACUAAGUCGUAACAAGGUA
rnacentral:rRNA from 1 species